rnacentral:rRNA from 1 species
UGGGGAAUUUUGGACAAUGGGCGAAAGCCUGAUCCAGCAAUGCCGCGUGUGUGAAGAAGGCCUUCGGGUUGUAAAGCACUUUUGUCCGGAAAGAAAUCCUUGGCUCUAAUACAGUCGGGGGAUGACGGUACCGGAAGAAUAAGCACCGGCUAACUACGUGCCAGCAGCCGCGGUAAUACGUAGGGUGCAAGCGUUAAUCGGAAUUACUGGGCGUAAAGCGUGCGCAGGCGGUUUGCUAAGACCGAUGUGAAAUCCCCGGGCUCAACCUGGGAACUGCAUUGGUGACUGGCAGGCUAGAGUAUGGCAGAGGGGGGUAGAAUUCCACGUGUAGCAGUGAAAUGCGUAGAGAUGUGGAGGAAUACCGAUGGCGAAGGCAGCCCCCUGGGCCAAUACUGACGCUCAUGCACGAAAGCGUGGGGAGCAAACAGGAUUAGAUACCCUGGUAGUCCACGCCCUAAACGAUGUCAACUAGUUGUUGGGGAUUCAUUUCCUUAGUAACGUAGCUAACGCGUGAAGUUGACCGCCUGGGGAGUACGGUCGCAAGAUUAAAACUCAAGG